rnacentral:rRNA from 1 species
GAUGAACGCUAGCGGCAGGCCUAAUACAUGCAAGUCGAACGGUGUAGCAAUACACAGUGGCGCACGGGUGCGUAACACGUAUGCAACCUACCUUACAUUGGGGGAUAGCCUUUCGAAAGGGAGAUUAAUACCGCAUAAGACAGUAACUAGGCAUCUAGUAGCUGUUAAAGAUUUAUCUAUGUAAGCUGGGCAUGCGUCCAAUUAGUUAGUUGGCGAGGUAAUGGCUCACCAAGACGAUGAUUGGUAGGGGAACUGAGAGGUCAAUCCCCCACACUGGCACUGAGAUACGGGCCAGACUCCUACGGGAGGCAGCAGUAGGGAAUAUUGGGCAAUGGGCGCAAGCCUGACCCAGCCAUGCCGCGCGCAGGAAGAAGGCGUUAUGCGUUGUAAACUGCUUUUAUACAGGAAGAAACGACCCUUGCGAGGGGCAUUGACGGUACUGUAUGAAUAAGCACCGGCUAACUCCGUGCCAGCCGCCGCGGUAAGAC